rnacentral:snRNA from 1 species
GCAUCCACUCUGUGCCUAUUGUUCUGUGGAACCAUACAGAGAAGAUUAGCAUGGCCCCUACACAAGGAUGAAACGAAAUUCAUGAAGCAUUCUACCUUUUU